rnacentral:lncRNA from 1 species
UCUUAACUUUCCAGUUUGAACCACUUUUGGUCACCGAAAACUCUACCGAACAAAAAUCUCUAGUAGAUAACAGUCAGAUUUUAUUUUUCACUUUUUGGGUGUCAUAAUGACAUGAAACUUUAAAUCUAGCCUCAUAAAAAUAAUUCCAACGUAUUCCCAAGUUUUCAUAAUCUUCUAACACUGUGAAUUUUUGCUAAAAUAUCAGCCCCGUUCCUUAUAGAAAAUUAUAAAUCUUUUGUUUUCAUUCCAAUUUCAGUAUAAGUCACUUCCGACUUAUAUUUUACUUCUUUAAGUCAAAUAAAAAUAGUAUCUCAUACUAUUUUUAUUUAAACUUACUUUUAUAUUAAAAAUCUGGUACACUAUACUCUGAAGCGAUGCACACGGUGUCCUCUUGCGAUUAUCAUACAACUCUUAAUU